AUUGAACGCUGGCGGCAGGCUUAACACAUGCAAGUCGAGCGAGCGGCGGACGGGUGAGUAAGGAAUGGGAAACGGCCUGAUGGAGGGGGAUAACUACUGGAAACGGUAGCCAAUACCGCAUACCAUCAGAUGGGCCGGGAUUGGAUUAGCUUGUAGGAGGGGUAAAGGCUCACCAAGGCGACGAUCCCUAGCUGGUCUGAGAGGAUGACCAGCCACACUGGAACUGAGACACGGUCCAGACUCCUACGGGAGGCAGCAGUGGGGAAUAUUGGACAAUGGGCGCAAGCCUGAUGCAGCCAUGCCGCGUGUGUGAAGAAGGCCUUCGGAUUGUAAAGCACUUUCAGCGAGGAGGCGUUACUCGCAGAAGAAGCACCGGCUAACUCCGUGCCAGCAGCCGCGGUAAUAC
rnacentral:rRNA from 1 species